GCUUUAAGUCUGAUAGAACUUUUAUAUUUAUUAUAUAUUUAAGAAUAAGCUCAUUCCUUUGUCUACUAACUUUAAAAAUAUUUUUCCUUUAUAAAAAAAAUUAGGAGAUUCUUCCGGGAAGAUGUGAGGAGACAGACGAAUGGUACCUGAGAAUAGAUAACCAGCCAUGUGGCACAAUGUAGAUUGGAAUAAAUGGGUUAUUUUAAGUUAUGAUCUAGUCAGAGAAGAGCCUUGCUAUAUGGCCAAGGUAUUUGUAAAAAAAAAAAAAAAAAAAAAAAAGUUAUGUGUUUGCUUGCAUGAGUUUACAUGCACCAUGUGUGUGCAGGAGUCCAUGGAGGCAAGAAGAGGGUAUUGUAUCCCCUGGAACUGGAAUUAUACCGUUACAGUUGUAAAACCACCAUGUGAUUGCUGGGAAAUAGUCCAGGCCUCUGCAAGAGCAGUAACCACUCUUAACUGCUAAACCAUCUUUCCAUCCUCUAAUUCCAUCUUUUCCUUUUGGAAACUGGGUCUACAUGUGUAACCUUGUCUGGUUUAUGUAGACCAGGUUGGUCUAGAACUCAGGGAUCACCUGCUUCUGCCUCCUGAGGUCUGGGAUUACAGGCCUGUAUCACCAUUUUUUUUUUUUUUGAAGUGUGUAUACAGCCAGUCUUCAAUUUCUAACUGCUUAAAUUAGAAUUUUUUGACUUUAUGAUCAUGAAAAAAUUAUACAUAUUUAAUAGGAGCCAAUUCCAGACCCUUUCUUGAAAGUUAGAAGGCUAUACUUCAGAGUUUGGUUUUGACACUUAUAUAUAUCUGGACUAUAUCAGGAAAGUUUGGGGUGGAGGCUGCAGCUCCCAGUAGCCACUUAGUCAUAGUGAUAGGCAGUCAUCCUCUAUUAAACAAUGAAUUUUGAAGCUUCAUAUUCUGCCUGUAGAUGAAGCAUGAGGAUAUAUUCAGCUUGUGAUGGUUUUGUUGGGCUAUAACAUUGUAGGUCAAGGAAUAUCUAUCUAUUCAUGGGGAUUCACAUGAGUUGGUUUAUAAUAUCUGUUUCAGACUAGCCCUAUUUAGGAAGCAAUUGUGUAUAGAUGAAGCU
rnacentral:lncRNA from 1 species